UUUCUUAACCACUUAGGUAAUGAGAGCAAGGCAGAUGGACUAAAGAAUGGGACAGUAAGGUGCAACACAAAAAAGAAGAAAAUAUGAACAAGGGCAACAGCAGUCCUGACAAUGAUGAAAGUUUCCACAUGGAUGUAACAACAAAUUCUGAAGAGAUUUACUCCCUGAAUCAGAUCAAUGACUGUCUAUUUGCAGACUCCUUGGAAACUGGGGAAAGAAAUCUACAUCUCCAGUUCCUUCUUCUUACAACGGUGGAAUAAUGCAUCACAGAGCAAUGCACCUGAAAAAGUCCUUCAUUCUGUGUCAGAUCAGACAUAGUUGAGAUUCGUAGUAAGUGGGGCAGGACGGUAACAGUAAUUUUGACACCUGAGGUGAAAAACAGCAUCGACCUCCUCAACAAGACAAGGAAAGCCGUGGGUAUUCCAGAUGAAAAUCCAUUUAAUAGUUGCUAGGUCAAACAGACAGUCAAAUUUGCUAUGGAAGGCGGCCCACCUCUGUCAAACCUUACAGAGAUAGCCAGUACCAAACUCAGAAAGUAUAUGGCAACCAUUUCCCAAGUAGUCUCUCUCAAAGGAACAGAGGUAGACCGACUAAGCAAGACACCUUGGUCAUGAAAUCCAAGUGCAUGGAGACUUCUACUGUCUUCACGAAUCUGCAGUUGAAAUUUCCAAAGUGAGCAAGCUUCUUCUUACAGUCGGUCAAGGUGAAACAAGAAAGUUCACAAGGAAAACACUGGCGGAAAAUGACUGAAAUGAGUAAGAUGCCCAUGUUCUAUGUACAGAAGAAGAGAAGGAGGCAGUUUUUAAGCACCCUAGUUCAUUUGUCAGAGAAAGACGCUUUCCGGGAAAAUUGGACUGUAAGAACUGUAUUUUAAAAGUAAAUGGUGCAUUAGAUGGUAGGGACUGGCAUGCUGUUAAAUAUUUUGUUAAGAAUCAGAUUGACAUUGGAGAAAGAGGGUUCUUGCCGCUUAAAAUGGCUAAGUGAACUGAUCUUUCCCCACCCUUAAUGACAACCCUUAAUACCUUGCUAAAAUUCAACCUCAAUAGCUGCAAGGACAACAAAAAACAGUAAUUCAUGAUAAUUAAGGGAUAUUUUGCUGUUUCCAAACAUCUCCAAUAUUUGUUAAAAAAACUUACCGUCACAGUUUGCGUGGGUACCCUGUGAUUCCACGACAAAUAGAAUAUGUUAAAUUCUACCAUAAAUUUUUGGAUAUAGGCCAAUCCCAAAAUACCCCCCCCCCCCCACAGUGUAAGCCACCAAUCCUCCAUUAAAUUGGCUUUGUCAAGUGUAAAAUGAUAUACACUGUAGUAUUGACAUCAAAACUUUUAAAAGUCUUAGAAUCAAUAUGUUAUCCACUUGUAAUUCCAACUCAAAAUUUUAUAAUUGGACAAAAUUUAAAAAUAAGCUUCCUUAAAAAUAGGAUUUUAGGGUUGUGUCCAGAAUUUUUACAUUAUUUCAACUUUCUCAAAUUCAGUCAUUGAUAAUUAUGGAGGUAGAUUUCAG